rnacentral:lncRNA from 1 species
AACAUAUACAAGUUUGAAGAAUAUUUUCUCAUAAUAGAGCCAAAUUAUUCAGACCGUGUGCAUCUAAUGUUCAGGAACUUUAAUCGUUUCUAUUACUUGUUGAAAAAAAUAUGAAUGUUUAAUGUGUGAAACUUCAGAAAGGUGUAAUUACUGGAGUCGAGGACAGUGAAAACGAUGUGUAAACACAGAAAUUCUAUAUGGCAGAGGACUAUCAGCAUUUUCGGAAGCUGCCACAUCUGCCUGUUGUUUCGGGAGUGCUCUGGAGAGUCCAGAUUCAAACCUGGAAGACUCAUACUCGAUUUUCGAAACUGCCGUGAUCGAAAGUUGUAAAAAUAUCAGAAUUUGAAUCUCACAAUCUCCGAAGCGAUGUGCUUCUCCAAAAUCCGUUGUCCAGGAGAUCUUGGGACUCAUUUUAUGAAGUUUCAAUUUCGUGCCUUUGGGACUACUUCGAAUUUUUGAUCAUCCGGGCCGAGUCCCGGACAGUCUAGACCGCGUAGGCAUAUAAAAUUUAUUUAUCUUUCUAAUAAAACAAUUAAUUUCUAUUUUUUUAUUUGCAAUUUACUCCCUUGCCAAAUUAAAUAUUCAUAUCCCAAAUAUACACUUUAAAUAUUGAUGAGUUUGUAAAUAAUAUGCUGAAUUUUUUGUAUUUUCUUGUCUUUCUCUUUCAACUGUUUUGUAUUUCACUUUAUUAUUUCUACGAUUAUUAUUAACACACAGUAGAGUAUUUUUUCACUUUAGUAUAUUGUCCUAAAUGUAAUUUUGAAUUAACUCGAUUGUAAUUUAGUGUGUUAGGUACAACCCUUCUAAAUUGCUUUUUACUGUAUUUUCUUUGAAAUUCAAAUUGUUUUCUUGUCUUUUUCUUACAGGUAUUUUGUUUUUUACUUUGUAAACUGUUGAAUUAACUCAAUUGUAAUUAAGUGUAAUAGGUAAAACCUUUCUAAAUUGCUUUUUGACGUAAUUUUUAAAAACAAGUUAAAUAUUUAUUAACACUUUCAUAACUAGUAUUCAUUUGGGCGGAUAUAGGGUGGCUAUAAGGGGAGAUGUGGAGGCCACAGAAGAUUAAGGGGGCAUUUUUGUCCCAAAUAUACUGUCUAAAUGUUAAUUCAACAAUUUCCAAUUGUUAAUAAUCAUAAAUCAUUUAAAAUGUUCAGAAAUUGUUAAUGUACUUUAUUCAUUUAUUGAAAAUGUAGUUUGUGUUUAU